GCAAGUCUUACGAUUUUAUAAUUCUUUCAUUUCAUGGAUUUGAUUUUUUUGGUGGAUACCGAGAUUCCUAUUAAAAUAAUUAGAAAUGAAGGAAAAAUGGAAUGGAAUAGGCAUAUAUUAAUUAAAUUAAUAAAAAAAGAAAAGAAAACCAAGUAAUCUUUUUUUUUGAACAUUCCAAAGAAGUAAUUCGUUGAGCAACUGACAGAUGAUCCAAAGAGUUCUAUGGUAACUUUUCUUCGUAUUUCGUUUCGAAAAAAGGGUAUACCCUGCCGAUUUUGAAUUUAACUUCUUUGAUCCAUGAUAUAAAAUGAGUCAAUAAAG
rnacentral:lncRNA from 1 species